ACAGAGGGUGCAAGCGUUAAUCGGAAUUACUGGGCGUAAAGCGCGCGUAGGCGGUUGUGUAAGUCGGACGUGAAAUCCCCAGGCUCAACCUGGGAACUGCGUCCGAUACUGGAUGGCUUGAAUCCGGGAGAGGGAUGCAGAAUUCCAGGUGUAGCGGUGAAAUGCGUAGAUAUCUGGAGGAAUACCGGUGGCGAAGGCGGCAUCCUGGACCGGCAUUGACGCUGAGGAGCGAAAGCCAGGGGAGCAAACGGGA
rnacentral:rRNA from 1 species